rnacentral:rRNA from 1 species
CACACCGCCCGUCACACCACGAAAGUUGGGUGCAACCAAAACCAGUGAUUCAACCCGCAAGGGAGAUAGCUGUCAAAGUUGUGACCAAUGAUUGGGGUG